GAUGAAGAACGUAGCGAAAUGCGAUAAGUAAUGUGAAUUGCAGAAUUCAGUGAAUCAUCGAGUCUUUGAACGCACAUUGCGCCCCCUGGUAUUCCGGGGGGCAUGCCUGUCCGAGCGUCAUUGCUGCCCUCAAGCACGGCUUGUGUGUUGGGCCGUCGUCCCCCUCCUAGGGGACGGGCCCGAAAGGCAGCGGCGGCACCGCGUCCGGUCCUCGAGCGUAUGGGGCUUCGUCACCCGCUCCGUAGGCCCGACCGGCGCUUGCCGACGACCAUCAAUCUCUUUCUCCAGGUUGACCUCGGAUCAGGUAGGGAUACCCGCUGAACUUAAGCAUAUCAAUAAGCGGAGGA
rnacentral:misc_RNA from 1 species